rnacentral:hammerhead_ribozyme from 1 species
ACUCUGUUGAUGAGUCCCAAAUAGGACGAGAUGCGCAUCCUAGAU